GGUAUGGCCCCAAAGUUGGCCCAGAACGAUAUUCGCACUCUUCUUCAGCUGUCAGCCGAAUUUGGGUCAAAUUAAUAACGCGUAGUGUGGUCGAGUAAUGCCAAACGGCUGAAACACAUUCGUCGCCGCCGCCAGAAGCACUUUUCAAAAUAAUAAAGAAAGCCAAAAAAAUAGAAAUAAAAUGAAAAACCAAAUUAAACGCUGCCGAGAGCCAAGAUGUCGACAUACUAUUUACAAAAGAACCCAAAAACAAGCUGCCGUGACACUUUCGAUUUCAAUUUCGUUGUAUCUGUGUGGGAUUUUUUUUGCACUUGUAUUUUGCUGGCUGUCUCGGCCGUAUUGUCAGUUAAAAGUUUUUAUUUUUCUUGUGUUUUUUUUUACCCCGUUGUGUAGCUGUGUCGAAGGUAGCGACGACAGGUGCAAAAGUUGGCGACAAAUUUUAAUGAGUUGCAAAAGGCAGCGGGAAAACAUCAAAAUAUCUACUAUAUCCACUUGCAGCGGAACAUCCGAAAACUGCACGUUAUAGAAAAUAAUUAAGUCAAGUGAAAUUAUUUAGCGAAUUUUAAUUAACUGCAAUUAACGGAAACUAAUGAGUCGUGGGAGUAGAAACGACGAAAAUGCCGCUUUAGAUGUUAGAUCUCAAAAUAAGUGCAGAUAGGUUCGCGGAUGCAUCCGCAAUCUGAAACGGCCAGCCGACGCUAAUCUUCAUCAUCCGCAUUCGCAUCGUGAUCAUCGUGUUCGUCAACUGUGUCAGCUAUAGGCAACCAAAAUGCAAUCGGGAUCGAGUCGAAGAGUUUGGGGAAGAAUCAGGGACUCUAGCUGGACCCCGGAGACCUGCGAAGAUGCGGAAGAUCAACACGCAUGGGCCUGGGCAUUAGCCUAUGUGUGUCUGGCUGUCCACUCUGCUGGCCAGCGCCAUGUUCAUUUAAAUCUACAACUUUUGGAGGGACAACUUGACUGCGACUGGAAAUGGGAAUAGGAACGGGAACGGGAAUGGGAAUGGGAAUGGGAAUGGGACUACAACAACAGCAGCGACUGCCAUGUGAGAAAAUUGCGCACUUGAGCAGCCUCGGCCUGAGCUUUUCCCCAGCUGGCUGCGAAAACCUUCGGGGCUGGUCCGGUUCACUGCGAUUGCCUCUUAUAUAAAAUGAAAAUUCCUCUAACAACAAAUGUUUGUCCAUCCACGGGCAAAGGCACAGCCACAUCCUAGUACCUACACUGCAAAAUUACCAUGCCUGCUUUAAUUUUCUAUCAUUUUUAAAUAUUUUUUAAAGAA